ACGCUAGCGGCAGGCCUUAUACAUGCAAGUCGAACGGUAACAUUGGUGCUUGCACCAGAUGACGAGUGGCGCACGGGUGCGUAACGCGUAUGCAACCUACCUUUUACUAGAGUAUAGCCCAGAGAAAUUUGGAUUAAUCCUCUAUAACAUCUUUUAAUUUCAUGAUUAAUAGAUUAAAGUUUUAAUGGUAAAAGAUGGGCAUGCGUCCUAUUAGUUUGUAGGUGAGGUAACGGCUCACCUAGACUACGAUAGGUAGGGGCCCUGAGAGGGGGAUCCCCCACACUGGUACUGAGACACGGACCAGACUCCUACGGGAGGCAGCAGUAAGGAAUAUUGGACAAUGGACGAAAGUCUGAUCCAGCCAUGCCGCGUGCAGGAUGAAAGCCCUAUGGGUUGUAAACUGCUUUUAUACAGGAAGAAAAACUCCGACGUGUCGGAGCUUGACGGUACUGUAAGAAUAA
rnacentral:rRNA from 1 species